UCAGCGUGGGUUCGGCAUGUGAUGCUGCCCCCGCGCUCUUACUAUGGUAGAUGCUAGAAUCAAGUGGGCUAAGGGACCUUUUCCGUAAGGGGGAGGAGUUACGACGCAAGGGGGAGGAGCUAGGCUAGCGGGAUAGUUCGUUUUCUAUUAUCCACGCCACCAACUAUUACCUUUAGUAAUUAGGUGGUGAGCGAAGCGGAGCGGAGCGAGCCACCGUGCCCGAAGCGUGGCGAGCGAACUUUUCGGGUACCCUGUUCGUCCGUAGCUCCUCCCCCUGGUGACGUAGCCCCUCCCCUCAAUACGUCACAAGGUCCCUUCAGCCACUCCGAUAUAGAACCAACUGCCGGCCCCACAGCGCAGCACUGCAGGAGAGGAGACAGAGAGACAGCCCUCACUGCUGGGAGCUGAGCUCUCCGGCUGUCAGGGGGCGGAGCCAAGCUCAGGCAGACGUUACAGACAGAAGGCCCACACUCCGGAGGAGCAGAGGUGACAGGAAGUGUCGCCACCUUUCUCCUGGAUCUGAUGCUCCGCCCCCCUGCAGUGUCUCUAGGGAGAGACAUGAUGACAUGGGGGUUGAGGAGGAGGCAUUCCAGCUCACAGUGCAGCAGCAGCCCAGUGAGUCCGGAGUCAGACCUCCGGUGACCUUUUCCCCACCUGCCGUCAGUCACAGAGCUUGGGGUGCCUGCUCUCAUCUUGUCUUCAAGAUGCACAGAUUCUUCUUCACUUCAACAGCGGUGACAGCAUAAUAUAACAUACGCCGUGCUGGAAAAUGAAGCCACUUGGACCUAAGGAGGGGAUGAAUGCUAUCCAACAGACACAGCAUGUGUCAGGAGAGGUGGACUGUAAAUGGAGGAGGACCAUGAAGCCACCAGGACCUGAGGAAGAAGGAGGUGGCUGCAACGCGUCAGUAAAACUAGCGCCACCUGCAUCAUCUAGGUGAUGGGGCAGGUUUUACUGUGCAGGGCAAUGGAGGUAGUGGAACUAGUUCCUCCUACCACUACAGGUGGUGGAACUCAGUUCCAACUCGUUCCCUUCCACUUUAACCCCUGCAACAUGGGCAACCAUAUCCUGCGUACCUCUGUCUCUGAUGUUGGUCAUGAAGUGACAGGAAAACAGUCCGAACAUGGGCCCCUUGCAGCCAUUGUUGCUAAUUGAAUAGCCCCCCCACCACCACCACACAAAAAAAAUUUGUUCCUAUAUACAAUAUCGAGAAAACAUUUAAUUAGGAACCAUUUAUCAGUACAAGGCAGUGUUUCCACCACCAAGAUGUGCUUUAAGGCAGGAUACAUAACCUGUGAGUAAUCAAAGGGUGUAGCCGAAUCCCAGGGAGGAGGCCGUCUCUUUUUGAAACCAGGAUGGCUGAUGUGAAACUGCUGCAUAUGAACAGAGCAGCUUCACAUCGGCCAUCUUGGAAUGAAAGCGAGGCUGCCUCUUCCCUUGGAGCCAGCAACACUGAGGAGGAGACAACAGCAGUGGCCGCUACCAGGUCCUGGUGAGUAGUGUAUGUAUUGGGGGGUGGUAAAUGGUAGUUUAUGUCCCGGGGAAGGGGUGGGGGGUUACCCUGUCAUGGGAAGAGGGUCUCAUACCUCUUACUUUAGUCUGCAUACUCCAAUGCCUAUAAUAAAAUAAAUUGUUAAUAAGAACUGUAUGUAGGUGUUGGGUUCGGGUGACCGACUGUUGGGAGACCACCAGUCACCAUACCGACACUGAGAUUCCAGCUUUUAGAUGGCCGGCGGGGAGGGGGGAGUGUGAGCGCCACGAAGCCACCUGCGGUCCCGAUGCGUUCGCCACGCAGAAGACUCGGUGGCUCACUGCACUUGCCAAAGGUUCUAUUCCCACUCUAUGGGUAUCGUGGACACCCCAUGAGUGGGAAUGGUCCCUGUUGGUCGGCAUUCCGUCUUAGCAGAGGCUGCACCUUUCCUCAUAGGACAUGUCUAAUUUUAAGUAAUUGGCUUCCAGUUUGUUAUUUUAUAAUAAUAAUAAUAAUAAUAAUGAUGAUGCAUUCAUACAGAAUUGCCAUUUAGGGUAAAAAAAUUUUACAAAAAACAAACAUACUGGCAGUGAUGGGAUUCGAACCCACACCUCCAGAGAGACUGGAGCCUAAAUCCAGCACCUUAGACUGCUCAGCCACACUACCUGCUUUGUGCAUGGGGAAAUCUCCACUUCUAUGUAGAAAACUUUACACUGGAAAGUAGUUUCCUACAUGUAUAGUAUUCUUACCUUAGUACUUUUCCCAGGUGCACCUCUCUGCGAUCAGAGAUAAGUAAUUGCCACUAACAAUAGCUUGGAGGUCGUUCCCUUGUCCCAACCCUCUCUCUCUCACACACAAACACACACACACUCACACAUUAAUAUCACACACUUUAUAUUAAUACUGCACACUCCCCUAACACAUGCAAAAAUUAUAUUAACCAUUUCUCUCUCUCUCUCUCUCUCUCUCUCUCUCUCUCUCUCACACACACACACACA